GGCUGGUCCGAUGGUAGUGGGUUAUCAGAACCUAUUAACAUUAGUAUCACUAAAGUUGGUAUACAACCCCCCACUGCUAAAUUUGGCUGGCUUAAA
ensembl:Y_RNA Y_RNA Y RNA